UGCAACAUUAUACCAUAGUUUCAUACAUUAAAAAGCUUUAUUGUUGUGAGCAUUUAUCAAUCAUGGCCGUUUCAAUCAUCUGCUGUAUUGGCAUGGUAUUAGCUGUAGGUGUGACGUGAUAGCGUAAAUUUAGGUCACUAAACUAGACUUUUGCCGGUUAGGUAUUUUCAUCUCUUUCCAAAUCCAUAGGUAAUGAAAUUUUAUUGAGAUGUACAGCUAUGAUAACACAAAGAUGAAGAAUUUAGCCCUAACUGCUGGUGUGGAGUUGGCGCCAAUUUGCUGCUAGCCCCUUUUGUGAUGUGUUCAAUGUCAAGUAAUGCAGCUGGGCCCUGCCAAAUUAUUAAUUUUGCAAUUGACUGUUGUGGUGAUCAUGGGGUUUUGCAGUCAUUUUCCAGUUUAAAGAUGUGCUGAAAUCGAUCUUAAGCAUCAUCUUAUUGAAAUAGAUCUAUGCAUCACACAGGGUAAUCAAGAGUUUGCAGUCAGCAUACUCAGUACUCCUGGAAGAUGCAUGAAAUCCUGGAAGAUGUCUUUACUUUUGUUAUCACUUUGCCCAACAGCGUCCUGGAAGAACUGCUACUUUGCAUCACCACAAUUUAAAACAUUUCAGCCACAGAGUUCCAGCACAGCAUAUCCUUUACAGAUGUGGCUAAAAUUAUGUCUGCUAGAUGGCGCGAGUGUCUUCGUUACUCAAGACGAAAUUCCGCCAAAACACUGAUUGGAAACCACAUGUUGAAAACGUAUCGUUGGAUUGGAUACUUAAUACGGCGUACUUUUCUUUCUUGACAUUUUUCGUAAUAAUGGUAUCUGGUAACAGCCUAUAAUUUCUACAUGGCAAUUUCAUCUGAUCAUGUGGCCUGUGCAGC